AUGAGAGCAGAGCUUCAUCCAGCAGUGAGUGACAGAGGAACCAGCAGAAUAUCUGCAGUGUGAAGAGCUGUGAGAGUCCAGCAUCGAACCAGGGUUCCUCUGGAUGUGACUCACUGGUUAACAGGAGAGUUCCAUGUUAAAAUGGGUGCAGAUCUGUUCCAGACAAAGACAGAUGGUGUUUGACUCCAUGAAUCAGUUUA